GCUGUAGGCAAAUCCGCAGCUCACAUAGCCUGAGACCUGAUAGUGACCGCGUAUGCGGGAAGCAGGGUGAUCCUAUGCUGCCAAGAAAAUCUUCUAGCGAGGUUCGAGCCGCCCGUACCCCAAACCGACUCAGGUGGUUAGGUAGAGAAUACCAAGGCGAUCGAGUGAAUCGUGGUUAAGGAAUUCGGCAAAAUACCCCCGUAACUUCGGGAGAAGGGGGGCCCAGAGGGUGAAGGCACUUGCUGCCUAGCCUGAACGGCCGCAGAGACCAGGGAGAAGCGACUGUUUACUAAAAACACAGGUCCGUGCGAAGUCGCAAGACGAUGUAUACGGACUGACGCCUGCCCGGUGCUGGAAGGUUAAGAGGACCGGUUAGUUCUUCGGAGCGAAGCUGAGAAUUUAAGCCCCAGUAAACGGCGGUGGUAACUAUAACCAUCCUAAGGUAGCGAAAUUCCUUGUCGGGUAAGUUCCGACCUGCACGAAUGGCGUAACGACUUCUCCACUGUCUCAACCACGAACUCGGCGAAAUUGCACUACGAGUAAAGAUGCUCGUUACGCGCAGCAGGACGGAAAGACCCCGGGACCUUUACUACAGCUUGGUAUUGGUGUUCGGUACGGCUUGUGUAGGAUAGGUGGGAGACUGUGAAGCAUGCACGCCAGUGUGUGUGGAGUCAACGUUGAAAUACCACUCUGGUCGUUCUGGAUAUCUAACCUCGGUCCGUGAUCCGGAUCAGGGACAGUGCCUGGUGGGUAGUUUAACUGGGGCGGUUGCCUCCUAAAAGGUAACGGAGGCGCCCAAAGGUUCCCUCAGCCUGGUUGGCAAUCAGGUUUUGAGUGUAAGUGCACAAGGGAGCUUGACUGUGAGACAGGCAUGUCGAGCAGGGACGAAAGUCGGGACUAGUGAUCCGGCGGUGGCUUGUGGAAGCGCCGUCGCUCAACGGAUAAAAGGUACCCCGGGGAUAACAGGCUGAUCUUGCCCAAGAGUCCAUAUCGACGGCAUGGUUUGGCACCUCGAUGUCGGCUCGUCGCAUCCUGGGGCUGGAGUAGGUCCCAAGGGUUGGGCUGUUCGCCCAUUAAAGCGGUACGCGAGCUGGGUUUAGAACGUCGUGAGACAGUUCGGUCCCUAUCCGCUGUGCGCGUAGGAAACUUGAGAAGAGCUGUCCCUAGUACGAGAGGACCGGGAUGGACGAACCUCUGGUGUGUCAGUUGUUCUGCCAAGAGCACGGCUGAUUAGCUACGUUCGGAAGUGAUAACCGCUGAAAGCAUCUAAGCGGGAAGCACGCUUCAAGAUGAGGUUUCCAUGGGCUUCGGCCCGAGAGGCUCCCAGCUAGACUACUGGGUUGAUAGGCCAGACGUGGAAGCACAGUAAUGUGUGUAGCUGACUGGUACUAAUAAGCCGAUAACUUGACACAACAAAG
rnacentral:rRNA from 1 species